CUUGGAACUCCUUCCGUUGCAUAGUCGCACCGCCGCCACUGUCCGACCACUGCCGCUAUCGCCAUCGUCAGUUGGGGUCGUUGAUAGGGCAGAAAAGUGUGCCUAACUCCAGCGACCAUAAACGCUGCUGCACAGUCACUGCCGCCGUUGCCCGACCACCGUUGCUACCGCCGUCGUCGGUUGGGGUCGUUGAUAGGGUAGAAAGGUGUGCCCAACUCCGACGACCACAAUGCCGAAAGUCGCUCCGUGAGAGGAGCCACCACGCGCCUUCGCCGUCGCGUGUAGCUCACACACCCACCUCCGGCGAAACCCACUCGUUGACGCCGCCACAGACAGGGUCGCCGGAGCGCCCUGAGUCCAUUCCUAGGGUCAGUGACGACUCGUUUGGGCUGUAUUUGAGUAGAUCUGAGUUUUAAGUUUUGCUCCUGUUUUUUUCCGGCGAGACCCACUCACCGUCGCUGCCAGAGAAGAGUCGUCGGAGCCUCUUAAGUUUCUUCCUAGGGUUUGUGACAACCCGUUUGACCUUUUCUUGAGUAGAUCUUUCACUACAAGAAAAAGAGCAUUUACAUAUAGAUAAUUAUAUACGGAUCUCAAUUCGUAUGUAACAAAACUGUUACAUACGGAUAUUAGAUACAGAGUUAAAAAAAAGUUGAAAAAUUGAACCAUGAAAAUUCUCGAGCCAUCCCAUUGUAAACUUUCCCUCUCGGUUUUCCCUCUUAUCUCUUUCCCUCUCAUCUAUUUCCCUCUCAUCUCUUAUCUUCUCAGGUUUCCCUCAAGAUCUUUUUCCCUCUCGAUCACAAACCAUUGUCUCAUGUUUAUUAAAAGAGUUCGUAGGUGUGUGUUCCUUUAAUGAGGGUUUGAGAAAGGGAAUGAAAAAGGGUUUGCGAUCGCAUGACUCAGGGUAGCCGCGUGCCACUAANGGCCUUUGAUCGGCAGUCGUUUGCACAAUGCUACUUCGAGGAUGAUGACGAAGAGGAGUGCGCGACACGCGACCCACGGCAUGCUUGACGCACAGGGUUGCAAGCCGAAGCACGGAGUGCACUGGUGAUGAUAUGGGAGCCUGAAGCUAGGAGGAACGUCUUAGCACUGAGGUUCUCGAAGCUUUUAGAAGUUCCUCACAUUUCCAUGGCUAUGCUCCUCAGCCAGGACCUCAACCCUCGCUCCUACCUCUAUCACCAAAUAACAAAUGCUUUAGAUCAUGGAAAACUUGUCGUAGAGGAAAAUAUUCUUUUAUGACCAUCACGNUUCGUUCUUUUUUUGCUCGCGGUCACACUAUCAAAGUUCCUUCAUCUGCACAUAACAAUAUGUGGUGUAGUUCAGAAGACAUUGUUCCAUCGUUACCAGAUAUCGAUUGAGGCGAGGGUGUUGCAUUUUGGAAACAUUCGAAGUGGUAGUAAAGUAUGUUUCGGUGAUAUUUUGGAAACAAUCGCAGGGCAUUAUCAUGUUUCUCGGUUCUACCGUCGAUAGGGCUUUAGAUCUGGACCAACGCGUCCCAUUGUAAUCACUCUUCUUCUUGAAGUCGUUCAUGGAGGAGAUUUGGACUAGUGCUCUGCUAUCAUAGAAGGCCUUCCCUAUAUGUGAGGAGAUAUCUUUAUCUUGCCCUGGACGUCAAAGGCCCUCACGUUGAAGUAAAUUUGGAUUUUCAAUUUUACUUUCUAUUCUUGCAUCUUUUAGGUGUUGCUGGGAAUAAUGAUUAUAAGUCCUCUUGAUCAAGUUUAUUUAAUUUUUCCACUCUGAUUGAUUUGAUUUUGAAUGGUUGUGUGCCUGUGAGAUUUGUGCUACAUGAAACAAGCUUUUGCUUUAUGUGUGGUGGUCACCUAGCUUCUGGGAGAGGCGCUCGUGAGAGGCACAAAAACUAAUUUUCUUUAAAUAUUUUCAAGGACAUUAAAUGUGUUGUAGUUCAUCCUUUUUAUUCAUAAUACUUUUCAUAAUUUUGUCUUUCAUAACUGUUGUUUAUGUUAUAUUCUUAUUUAAUUGGUUAAUCUAUGAUUUGAUAGGCAUUAGGGGAGCUCAAAUAGUCCAUGCAUCUGAACCAAGCCAUGGUUAUUUAAGGAGAGGUAUUGUUGGGAUAAUUUCCAAUCCCCUGUAACUUUGCGAUUGAUUGAUGAGAUAGCUUCAAAUCUUCAUGCUCAUCAUUUACAAUUAAUAUGUGAGAAAUUGAUAACAUGGUGAAAAAAGGAAGAUUCUAAAGAUGAAGACAGUGGGCCUUCAAAGGAGGAGUGCAUCAUUCAAUACAAGGUAUAUUCGUCUCUUUCUUUGAGUCGAUGUAGUUCUUUUCUGUUGUUUUAUAUUAUGAGGAAUCUUAAUCCUGCUGCCCUGAUUUCAUUAUUGGUUGGUAAAUAAGUUAAAAUUACCAUGUGAAAUGUAUUGCCCCCACUUUGCAUUUUCUUUUACCCUUGGUUUAUUAUUCAAUGAAACUUUGGNUUGGUUUGGAUGUUAUUCACAUUGUUGUUGUUAUUAUAUUGUUUUUAAAAUUUUAUAAUCGAAUUAGUUUAUUAAAGACUGUUAAAUUGUUGUAUAUUUGUAUUUAAUUUAACUCUGUNGUGCACCAUUUCUGUGACAAAUUAAAAUUAAAAUUGUUGGAUCAAGUAUUUCAGAAUUUUGCUUUCUUCCAUAGGCAUGGUGCCUCCUAUAGUUUAGUUUUUCUUUGAGCUAUAAUUCCUUUUAGUUUUGUUAGGAAAAAAGGCUUGCUUGAAUUUUUAGUUUCCCCAAUUGACAUCCUUGCUUGAAUUUUUAGGAUUUGACUAGAUAGUUAGUUGCUAUAUUUCUCUUUGGUCCUUGGAAUUUAAGCCUCCUAAGUUUUACGGAGAGCCACUAAAU